UAAUGUUAAUUUAUAGAUUCAGGAGGAAGAAUGUCCACCAAGAGAUGACUUCAGUGAUGCAGACCAGCUCAGAGUGGGUAAUGAUGGGAUUUUCAUGCUGGCAUUUUUCAUGGCAUUUAUUUUCAACUGGCUUGGAUUUUGUUUAUCCUUCUGUAUCACCAAUACCAUAGCCGGAAGGUAUGGUGCUAUCUGUGGGUUUGGUCUUUCAUUGAUCAAAUGGAUCCUUAUUGUCAGGUUUUCGGAUUAUUUUACUGGCUAUUUCAAUGGACAAUAUUGGCUUUGGUGGAUAUUUCUUGUACUUGGUCUGCUCCUUUUCUUCAGAGGAUUUGUUAAUUAUCUAAAAGUCAGAAACAUGUCUGAAAGUAUGGCAGCUGCUCAUAGAACAAGAUACUUCUUCUUACUAUAGAGACUGCAUCAACCAGACAUUCCUUUCUUAUACCAAUGUGAAAUUUCCAGAUCAUCUGUAAACCUACAACUUUUAACAGGAUAGAAGACUACUAAUAACAGAAGACAAAUUCGUGAAGAAAAGAUAGAGUUUCAAAGUGGAAUGGCAGGAUGGUUUAUGCUUAAAAACUGUUUCUGUUCAUUCUCUUCAAUAUUUACAUUUCAUUUGUUUUGCACAUUUGCAUAUGUACCCAUUUAAAAGAUUUGCCUAUACUUGAAAGAAACAUAAAGUUGUAGCAGUAAAUUCAGUCACAUUUGGUUAAUCAGUGUUCGAUAUAAUUGAAAGAGUUGAGUGAAAAACAGUCUUCCAGCAUGUAAAUGCCAUUGACUUCUGACCUGACAUUUAGUAUAAUAAAAAUGAAAUUAUUAACCAUGUCAAAUGCUUUAGUUUCUGGUCUUAGAUUUAUCUAAUAACUCUAUACAUGAAACAUCCUUUGUUAUAUAUAAAGUUUUUUUUUUGAAACUUACAGUGCUGAUUACUAGAAAGGCUUUGUCAAAUUUUUGAACAUGAUCUCUAUAUCAUUAUUUAGCAAAACUGUAAAUAACCAUGCACAAAUUUUUUUCUUCAUUGUUUUCUUAGAAAUUGUGUCUAGAUAUCUUUUCAUUAAUUAUAAAUUAAGUAACUUAAUAUAUAGAGAAAAUCUGGAUGUUAAAGAUAGAGUUCUUUUUUAGAACAAAUUUUAAGAAAAUGUGAGUAUUCCACAUGUCCUUUGUAAAGAAGUACUUUUCUUUUAAGGGACAUGCCAGUUUUAGGGAUUCUCAAAUUAGGGACUUGGUUUUUGGCAUUUCCUAUUUUAGAGAUUCUUGCAGGAAGAGAUUGUAUUAGAUAUAUUUAUUUCAUUUAAGAAAUUCAUUUUCUGAAUAAGAUUCCCAUUUGUCUUUUAAAAUUCAAUAAAAGUAAUCUUUCAAUAUCAUUGUAAUUUUUUUUUUUUUUUUAGCUUUUUAGUUUGUUAAACUUGGCCAAUAAAAACUACAAUUAAUAGCUUUUUGCUCUAUGAUAUUAGGAUUAACUUGGAGAAAUCAUAACCCCUGAAUCAAGAUAUGGGCGAUGUCUGUUUUCAAGUUACGGAAAUGUGACUUUGUGAAAUAUAGGUAUGUGGGGUGUGGAUGUGUGUUAAAGAGAGUGUGUGUGUGACCAUUAUUAUAAGUAGAAUCUACGAUGGGAAUCUACUGCCUUUUUUUUUUUUUAAAGAUUUAUUUAUUUAUACAAGCACUGGGGUACAGGCCAGAGGCGGGGGAAGGUGAGAGAAUCCACCAAAGACAGAGCAGGGAGCAGAACAGACAGAAGGACGGAAAUACACUGCUGAAGGGAGCAGCGGGCAAGACAGGAGAGGUCUGCUGCCCCACGUGGGAAAUCUCCCUGGCUGGCUGGGAAUCGAACUGGCGCCGCGGAGGCUGCAGACAGCUUCACAGUGUUGCGCUCAACCCACUCUGCCACCGGGGAGGCCCGGUAAGCUACUGCAAAUCAUUUUAUGUCUUAUUCUUGUCAGUUACUUCUUUUCUUUUGAAUGCCAUCAUUAAAAAUGAUGGAAACUUUAUAGCCUAUUAAACUAAACAAUCAUUUAAUACAGAAAUACGAUAAAAAAUUAUUAUUAGACACUGCUACUAAAAGAUACAUCUAAAACUAUUCAGGGACAUUUUCCAUUUCUGAAAAAAUAAAACUUAUGAUGCUUUAUAACUUCUUUUGUAUUUCUCUGUUUCUGAUUUAUUUCACUAUCUUUGAUAAGUAAAACAUGCAGUUUCGUUUCGCUAAUGGAGCCUUCUAAAUUUUGCUUUCACUCAUUUAAUCAAGUACAUAUGUUACACCCCUUGAUGUAAUAUUGUGGGGGUAAUGAAAGCAAAAAAAUUUAGUUGCCUAAUUUGGAAAUUAAUUACAAUUAGAAUAUACUUAUGAGAAAUGUAAACUCAUGCUAGAUAUCUUUUUUAUCUCAUGUUAAUUUCCUGUAGACCCAUGCGUUGUUCUUUUAAAAAUUUAAAAAUAAAAUUAAGCUAUGGUAAUUUUAAAUAACUUGGUCAGUUAUCAAACAUCACUUUAUUUAAAUUUUAUUUUAGUUUUUGUGGUUAUUCGUACUUGGCUUCUGAAUAUGGAUUUUUUCAUCCAACAUCAAAACUUCACUUUUUGUUUUGAUUUUUUCCCCUCAAAUUUAUAAGAUUCAAAUGUGCACAUUACCUAAUCCUCUACAACUGGCACAAUUCAAUGGUCAACUUAAAUCUCAUCAUCCAAGCAAGGGCAUCAGAAUAUUAUUUUUUUAAAUUUCCAUUCCCUUCCUUACAAGAUCCAAUGCUGCAUAUUUCUCUCAUUUCCUGUGAGCUUGGACAGAAUAGCUGCUGUUAUGUUUGGGGAACACUUACCAUCUUUGCACUUUGCCUUAAAGAUUGAAAUUGAAAACUUUUGUUAGGGUGUCUAAACAAUUUUUGAAUGAAUGUGAACUGAGGCUUCGAAGUUAAUGCAAAAAUUUAUUAUUUCUAUUAUAUUUAAGAAACUAGUUAUGAACAGUAUAAUCCAUUUUUAUAUACUUCAGAGAUAAGUUUUAAUUUAUCCAGUGUUCAGGAUAGAUUUUAAAAGUUUAAAAUUAAAGAUGAAUCCUAUUGCACAGUUAAAAUGAAAGUCUAAGAGAAAAAAAUACUAGUCUCUAAUCUUUUAUUUUUAAGUCUGUAAGAUAUAUCCCAUGGCUUUGAGGUGGUUCAUAAAUUUUAACCUGUAAAAAACAAACACUAAUAUUUUCAGUUAAACCUCUCCUUAUAGGAAAAGUGGAGUUCAAAAAGUCUAAUUGAACAAAAUUCAGGGUUCUUUGAUUUAAUUUUUUUCCUGUUGGUCUGUACUGUCCCCAAAAGUACAAAAGUAACGAUGAUAGUAUAUUUGAGACUAAUAUUUAAUUAGCGUAACAUAUAUCCUAAGUCUGCUCUGAAGACUCUUGGUUAUUCCUUUUUUCUCUGUUUAAUUAAACAGUGUUCUGCUCACUCUUCAUUGUUCCAACUUGGAGGACACAUUAUAUGACCACCCUGUAUAUAACCAUACUCUGUAUUGAGAAGUGCCUGCCUCAGCCCACUUCCCUUUGAGGGAAGAAUCUGGAGUAUUAGGGUAGGAGCUGAUCAUCAACCUUUCCUAACUAUCUGGCCUGUGGAACAGGCAGAGAAUCUUUCUUUUUUAAAUAGAAGUGGUUGUAUUUGAAUGAUUCCAGCUUAUGGUAAAUACUAAGCAAGAAGCUCUGGUGUUUUUAAAGUGCUGUUAAACGUUACUUUGUUUAUUUAAUUCUUCAAAUAGCCAUGAAAUAUAUUAAUCUUUUGAAAAACCUCAUUCUCAUUCUUGAUAAAGUAACUGCUAGAUGAAAUAUUUCACUUAAUAUUAUGGGAAUGUCCUUGCUUAUAUAUAAAACAUACAUGUUUUUGCUUGUUAAUAAAAUUCUGUAGAUGUGG